rnacentral:rRNA from 1 species
UUUACGGGAGGCAGCAGUGGGGAAUUUUCCGCAAUGGGCGAAAGCCUGACGGAGCAAUACCGCGUGAGGGGAGACGGCCUAUGGGUUGUAAACCUCUUUUUUCAGGGAGGAAUCAACGACGUGUACCUGAAGAAUAAGCAUCGGCUAACUCCGUGCCAGCAGCCGCGGUAAU